UAGCAAACAAAAAUCAAAGGAAGAAGAAACCAAAAAGCUUGCAGAUUUAGACAAGGCAAAAAGAAAAAACAUUUGCAAGCAGAAUUUGGAAAAGAAAACGUCAAAUGUGGAGAGGGAAUUCUUGGGAAACAAAAAACAUAAAGAUAAAAAUAAAUUAAAAUUUUAAAAAAAUCUCCUCCACUCUAUCCACUAACCACCUUAUCCCCCAAAAUCCUCCCCACUACCACAUCCAACUACCUCAGACUUCUAACUCCACCCAAACUCUCUCAGAUAACCGAAGUAAAAAUAUCAUCCACGC
rnacentral:lncRNA from 1 species